rnacentral:rRNA from 1 species
CCUACGGGUGGCAGCAGUGAGGAAUAUUGGUCAAUGGGCGCGAGCCUGAACCAGCCAAGUCGCGUGAGGGAGGACGGCCCUACGGGUUGUAAACCUCUUUUGCCGGGGAGCAACGGGCGUCACGUGUGGCGCCACUGAGAGUACCCGGAGAAAAAGCAUCGGCUAACUCCGUGCCAGCAGCCGCGGUAAUACGGAGGAUGCGAGCGUUAUCCGGAUUUAUUGGGUUUAAAGGGUGCGUAGGCGGAUCGUUAAGUCAGUGGUCAAAUUGAGGGGCUCAACCCCUUCCCGCCAUUGAAACUGGCGCUCUUGAGUGGAAGAGAAGUAUGCGGAAUGCGUGGUGUAGCGGUGAAAUGCUUAGAUAUCACGAAGAACUCCGAUUGCGAAGGCAGCUUACUAAACUGCCACUGACAUUGAUGCUCGAAAGUGUGGGUAUCAAACAGGAUUAGAUACCCGAGUAGUC